rnacentral:lncRNA from 1 species
GGACAUCUUUGGAGGCCAUUAUGCUGUGUGCUGUCCACCUCAAUUGCUGUGGUAGUAGGCAUCGCCUUAAUUCAUAAGCAUAUGCUCAGCAUGUACUCUGCGAAAGCCAGAGGCCUUCCACCACAGCCCAGUCCAUUCCAGCCAAGAAAAGAAUCAAUGUUUCUGAUUCUCCUGUGUGAUCCCAGUCACAGCUUUAACCAGAGGUCCCUGUGCAGGUGGAAGGAGAAGACUGCUUUUGAUUCUUCCAGACAGAGGCUGUGGCUCCUUCCUGGUCCAUGUGCUUCCGUCCUUUGAAAGCUUGCUUUGAUGCCCUUGGACCAGAGCAGCCUAUAAAGAUAUGCUUGGACUUAAAGCACAAUUGCUUCUUCCUAGACAUGAGCUUUGGAGAAUUGAGUAACCUCGAGCUGGAAAGCAGUACACUUUGAAGCUUUAGAUCUUGUGUUAUUGUGAAGUCCAACUCUGGGAGCCAGUGUAACAUACUGAUUUCAGACCUGAGCACUGGGCGGGAGGUAUCUCAUGGUAAGAGAACAAGACCUGGGUUUAUAUUAUAAAUUUAAAACCUGAAAAAGAAAAGUAAUGAAGACCAUUGGCACACUUGGAAGAGAGACCUAAAGCUCCGAGUUAAAUAGUGAAUAGGAGAGCACAUCAGUGAAAGAUUCACUGUUUAAAAAAUAUCAACUUACUACAGUGGGCUGAAUAAUAGCCCCUCAAGAUACUGUACCAGGUGGGAAUCCCUGGAAACUGUAAAUUUUACUAUAUAUUGAAAAGUAUCUUUGCAGAUGCUGUUAAAUUAAGGAUCUUGAGAUGGUGAGAUUAUCCUGCAUUAUUCAACAUGCCCUAACUGUGAUCACCAUGCAAUUUUUGUAAGUGGGAAACAGAGGGAGAGCGGACACUCACAGAAGAAGAGGAAAAAGUCAUGAGGCCAUGGAGGCAGAGACUGGAAUGAUGUGACCACAAGUUAGGAGUUGCCAGCCAGAAGCCACCAGAAGCCAACUGUGGCAAGAGACAGAUUCUCCCCUGGAGCCUUUGGAGGGAGCAUGGCCCUGCUGGCACUGUGGUUUUCACUCAGUGAUAUUAAUUUUGGACUUUGGGUUUCCAGAACAGUAAGAGAAUAAAUUUUUGCUGUUUUAAGCCACUAAGUUGGUGGUAACCUCUUACAGUAGCCACAGGAAACUUAUACACAUGCCUAACCUGAACCUAAUGAGUUAGAUCGCUUCAAGGAAACAAACACAAGAAACAGGCUUUGUCAGAGGGAAAUUGGAAAGGCAGAUGAGAAGAUGAAGACAAUUUCCAUGGUUUACUCUGUGUAUUUCCUAUCAUUCAAAGGUUUUACAAGAGAAUCAAUUCAUGUACUAUUUUUUAAAUGAGAAAAAUAAUUUAAUAUGUCUCUUCAAUUUAGUAAUGACUUCAGAACCUCGAAGGAUUUUCCUAGCAUAUUUCCAAGAUUCAGUCUUGAUUAUUUGAGAUUGACAUGAAGAAGGACUGGACUCUUCCACAACAUAGCAUUAGAUAACAUGAUAUCAUAAUCAGACAACAAUGUUAGACUGUGAUGGACCAGGUGAAUCUUGCCCAACGUGGCAAUUUUAUUGUCAAAUAUUUAUUUCAGGUUUCUAACACUCGCGCAAAUUCCUCCCUUCUUUGAUUCCCUCCUCCUGCAACUAUCAAAGAACUGUGCUACAGACCACGUGGGAUAUAAAGAACAUUUACUCAGCUCUUGCUUUCAAGAAAAUUACAUAUUGGCUCAGGAGAUGAGAUAAAUGAAAAGGAAGCAGAUGAUCUGUUACAGAAGAGAUAACACCAUAAGCCCAACAUGUAUGUGAUUAAGUUCUAAAAGUGUCAACCAUAGGAAGUGUUGUGAGGUGUCAUUACUGAUGCAGAUUACAACAGAGCUGACCUUGCAAGUGUAAACAAAACAGAAUUCUGCUGAACUCUUCUUGGACCAGUUGUUCUGAAUGCUUGCUGCAGUUUUGGUUCCCACCAUUCUCAAAUUCCAACUGUGAGAUGAACUGGCAAAUGUUUAUCCUUGACAUAAGUAGUGUGAAAGGAGUCCUACCAAGUGAUUUUGCCAAUGGCUGCCAUUCCUGCCACAAACACUGGUGUGUUCAGCAGGAGCUGUGACAUGUCCACACUCACCUGUCUCUCAGGAAUGCUCUUUUGAAAUGCAGUGUGCUCAGGAUCACAUAGCUAGUGAGAGGCAGUCAGAAGGUGAACCUAGCCUUCUUUUCCCAAUCCCCACAGGCUUAGCCAUUACCUUUGGACCUACUAUAUACGCCUGUUAAGUACCACUCUCUACCAGGCAUUCUGUGAAGCACCUUCACAUGCAUUAUUUCAUU